rnacentral:rRNA from 1 species
GACGAACGCUGGCGGCGCGCUUAACAUAUGCAAGUCGCACGGUGAACCUCUUCGGAGGCGACUAGUGGCGUACGGGUGAGUAACCCGUGGACAACCUGCUCCCCGCCCUGGGAUAACUCCAUGACAUUGGGCCCAUUACCGGAUGUCCACCGCUUCCCUCCAGGCCCGUGCUGGAAAGGGUUUCCGGCUGCGGAUGGGCCCGCGGCCUAUCAGCCCCCUGGUGCGGUACUGGCCUACCAAGGCGACGACGGCUAGCCGGCCUGAGAGGGUGACCGGCCACACUGGGACUGAGACACGCCCCAGACUCCUACGGGAGGCAGCAGUGGGGAAUAUUGCGCAAUGGGCGGAAGCCUGACGCAGCGACGCCGCGUGGGGGAUGACGGCCUUCGGGUUGUAAACCUCUUUCAGCAGGGACGAAGCGCAAGUGACGGUACCUGCAGAAGAAGCACCGGCCAACUACGUG